CUGCGUUUUCUGGUUUGUUGGAUCCAGGAGAGAGUGGGUAACAUUCUCCAAUUGGUUUCGUAGUGAAACUCUUGCUGAGCUGAGACGUGCAUCCCUUUAGCUUCAGAGGGUAAAAGAUCACCAAAAACAAUUGUUGUUGCUGCCGAUUUCUUCUCAAUCACUAUGGGAUUGUUCCUGUGAUUCCACAACUCUCCUCCAGGCUCAAAUACAACAUGUUCCAUGCCCAGUUGGUGUCUUGAAAGCUCUACUGCUCUGGUCUUGUUCCACACAAAAGGACUGAUGAGAAAAGUACCCAAGAAUGUCCUUUGGAAACCGUUUGAAUCAGUGACAAAUAGAUGCUCUACUCCACUGUCUGAUUUUGAUUCCAUGGGUGCCUCCUCUUCUAUUACAUCCUGUUUGAAGAGAAUCAGGUCGUCCUUGAUGGGUUGAUCAUCUUUCUGAAUGGUGAUUGUUGGAAUCUCGGUUUGAUCUUCUUGAACUAGUGCAGCCAAGUCUGAUUGUGCAACUGAGUCUGGUUCUGCAUCUUUGAGUUCUGAGACAGUUGAGGAAAGCGCUUGGUUCUGUACUUCUAAGGAUGGAGAUAUAGUCUUGGACUGUUUAAGUUGUUUCUCCACAUCCCUAAACGCUUGUGAAAUUGCCUUCCUUAUGCUAUCUUCAAAGGAAUGGGUUGAUGUUUUGCUUGAUGAAACCAGGUUACUAGAUGGACUUGAUCUCUUACUGUCUGGUUGUUUCUGAACUGAUAAUGAAGAACAUAGAUAUGUCUCAGGCUGCUUUUGAAUAACUUCCUUGUGGUACUGUCUUGGAACGUACUCUCUACGCAUCAAAGCCCUCAGCUUAAGCCAUGUUUCCACUGGUUCUUUUCCAUCAAGUCUUCUGCACUUUAUCAACUGAUUCCACCAUCUUAAAGCAUGACCACAAAACUCAGCAGUAGCCAUUUGAAUCUUCUUUCUUUCAGCAUAGUGUUGACUACUGAAAAUCAACUCAAUCUUCUUUUCCCACUUCACAUAAGCUUCAGGAGCCGCCUUGCCAUGGAAUGGAGGGAUUUGAAAUUCAUAUACAGCAUGCUUCCGGUUCCUGUCAAACUGAUCAAACUCUUUUUGCUUGUACUCAUCGCUGGUUGAUCUUGAGCAUUCUCUAUUUUUCUUUGGAUGAUGUUUUCCUUUGUGCUCCUUCUCCAUUGGUACCUGAGACACAAAUAAAACAGAAACCAGUAACUAGUUCUAAGAGAAACAACACUCAGAAUUAACAACAGAUCAAUUUUAAAACGACAAGCAAAUCAAAUAAAACAGUUUGAUAAUCAGAACAAUUCACCAACGCAAUAUGAUCGAUCAAUCUUAAACAGAGACAGAUUAAAUUCGAAAUCUAAUCAACCAAACAAGAUAGAUUAUAUUCAAAGCAAUAAGAACAGAUCGGAAUCACACAAAUCCAAAACAGAAACAGAUCAAGCAAAUCGAUUACUUCUGCAACAAGAAUGUGAAAAGUUUUUUUAUCAAUAACGAGAUCAACAAGCUUGAAUCUAAUUAAAACUCAACAACACAAUCAUAGAUCAAUCAAAACUAGUGAGAAUAAGAAUAGAUCGACAGGUUUUUAGCAAAAACAAACGGAUUUAUCAGAUUUAAACGCCAAGAACACAGAUCAGAUCAAACUCGACAGAAUAUGAACAGACCCAAACGAAAAUCAGAGAGAAAAAUCAAACACUUCCCUUCCAGAGUUGCUCUGAUACCACUUGAUGAGAUCCUAGGAUGAUGCUCUGGAACAGAUGGGAUAAUCCUUGCAGAAACGAAUCAAAAGACUCAAGCUUCUCAAGGUAUGUGGAUCGAAUGGUGACACAAGAGGCUGCGGAAAUGCUUCUUGAUACUCCUAGGCUUAGAUCGGAUAUGACACACCUCUCUAAAGCCCUUGGGCGUUGGAUAUUACACACCAACAGACUGGAUAUUACACACCAGACACACUUCAACUCGUCCAAGACAAGAGAGAAGAGAGAAAAGGGUUUUUGAUAAAAGAUUGCUUAAUCAUAAAAGAAGAUGGCUACAAGCUUAUAUAGAGAAGGCUGGAACAGGCUCCACUUCUCGAAUUCAUUAAAGGGAACAGGCUCCCUUGGUAAUCUAAAAACAAGACUAAGACUUAUUCAAAUUUUAAAAGAGUUUCGAAAACUAAAUAACAUAUAAGCAUAGCUUAAAAUAUAAGAUAAGGUCUUCAUGUGGACAGACCAAGAUCAAUCAUCUAGGAGAUAGGAGAAGUAGACUUGUGGCCUCGUUAAAAACCUUCCUUUGGAAAACCUAGUGGGACAAAACCAAAGGUUAGGAAAAGAGCACACACAAGCUACUUGCCUAGAUGAUGAUCAGCUUGAAGGUGGAGUAGCUUGAAUGAUGGUUAAGGUGUCUUGGAUGAUCAAGCUUCGGCCAAGACUAAUAUAUUCUUCUUGUUUCCAAAUGUUCUUCAAGGUUGCAUCCUCAGCUACAAGCUCUUCAGGUUCAGGUUCAUGCUUCCAGCCCUUGGUGCUUUCCAUGAUCAUAUCAUCCCCUCCCACUUCAAAAAGAUUUGUCCUCAAAUCUGUGUUACCUGCAAUAGAAGGGACCAAGUCAGUAACAUCAGAGUUUAUAAUCAGAUUACACUUACCUUGCAAGCCUCUUUGAUAGGCAUUAUCGCUGACUGGUUCUAUUAUAUAGAAGGGACUGAUCCAUUUGGCUCUCCUUACUCCUGAGGCAUUACUUAAACCUGAUACAUUGAAACAAGACAAGUGAACACAAGCAAAAACAUCAUAGAGUAAGAGUCUUAUCCCAAAGUUGUAUUUUAUCGGUUUUGGCUUGUAUGCUGCAUCUGGAGGUUCUUCUUUGAUGAGGAUGAAGCAAGUGACGUCCUGUUGCCUCUCCUGGUUUAGAUCAGGCGGCUUGAAACGUUUGUCUUCCUCACGCUUGUUCUUUGUCUUUGCAUGCUUCAAAGCUUCCAUAUAAUCUGCACAUGACUCUUUUGACAAAAACAAGUGCAUCAUAUCUGUGUAAUCAAUAAAAGAACUCUUGAAAACAUGAUUGGUUACCUUAGCAUGCUCACCUGGUCGCCAUAUAUAGGAUUGAGAUGUUCUAUACUCAGAAAAAUUCAAACAAAGCAAACACAGAAUCACCCGUCUUGUAGAACCCAUAACUCUUUUAUUUGAGAAGCUUUGGUCAUGAUUCCAGUUCGACGUGAGACCCUGAUGAGUGUAGUUUCCAUUGCAGUUGAGUUUGUUGCUUAAUUCCUUCUGGUUGCUGAGAUAUGAUCCUCGGACUGCUCCUAUGUCAAAGUUGGCGGCUAGACAGCUUCCAAGAUUUGAUUGUUGCAUCUCCAAUUUAGCCAAGGAUCCAUUCUUGAUACUCUGAUCAUUACUAUAGCCUCGGGUUGGUUUAUUUGGAGAUUGAUGUAGACUGAGUCCAUCUGGUGGUUUCUCCUUGAUUUGAGAAGAAAACAUGAGUUCUCCUCCUAUUCCAGUAAUCACUUCACCAUUUAAUCUAGUGAAAUCUCCAUCUCCACUCUUGGUUUGACAAUCUCUGAAAUGGUAUUGAAGCUUUUGCAAAUCUGGUGGCUUCCACACCUUGACAUGAUCAAGAAGCAAGGCAUUUUGAUCAGCUUCCAACUCUUUAUUGCCCCAACUGGUUCUACUACGAGCAGAGCACUCUCCAAGGAUGAUAAGUAUGCUGGAAUAUGCUCCAGUUUUCCACAAGUAGAACUGUAACCUUCCACCCCAAUCUGAUAUAAGCAGCUCACAGAAUUUGGCUAAACCGAAAUGUUUGGCGGAAUUGACAAUAUCUUGAUGAUCAGGAGGCCAUUUGCUGCGUUUUCUGGUUUGUUGGAUCCAGGAAAUAGUGGGUAACAUUCUCCAAUUGGUUUCGUAGUGAAACUCUUGCUGAGCUGAGACGUGCAUCCCUUUAGCUUCAGAGGGUAAAAGAUCACCAAAAACAAUUGUUGUUGCUGCCGAUUUCUUCUCAAUCACUAUGGGAUUGUUCCUGUGAUUCCACAACUCUCCUCCAGGCUCAAAUACAACAUGUUCCAUGCCCAGUUGGUGUCUUGAAAGCUCUACUGCUCUGGUCUUGUUCCACACAAAAGGACUGAUGAGAAAAGUACCCAAGAAUGUCCUUUGGAAACCGUUUGAAUCAGUGACAAAUAGAUGCUCUACUCCACUGUCUGAUUUUGAUUCCAUGGGUGCCUCCUCUUCUAUUACAUCCUGUUUGAAGAGAAUCAGGUCGUCCUUGAUGGGUUGAUCAUCUUUCUGAAUGGUGAUUGUUGGAAUCUCGGUUUGAUCUUCUUGAACUAGUGCAGCCAAGUCUGAUUGUGCAACUGAGUCUGGUUCUGCAUCUUUGAGUUCUGAGACAGUUGAGGAAAGCGCUUGGUUCUGUACUUCUAAGGAUGGAGAUAUAGUCUUGGACUGUUUAAGUUGUUUCUCCACAUCCCUAAACGCUUGUGAAAUUGCCUUCCUUAUGCUAUCUUCAAAGGAAUGGGUUGAUGUUUUGCUUGAUGAAACCAGGUUACUAGAUGGACUUGAUCUCUUACUGUCUGGUUGUUUCUGAACUGAUAAUGAAGAACAUAGAUAUGUCUCAGGCUGCUUUUGAAUAACUUCCUUGUGGUACUGUCUUGGAACGUACUCUCUACGCAUCAAAGCCCUCAGCUUAAGCCAUGUUUCCACUGGUUCUUUUCCAUCAAGUCUUCUGCACUUUAUCAACUGAUUCCACCAUCUUAAAGCAUGACCCAAAAACACUGAUUCCACCAUCUUAAAGCAUGACCACAAAACUCAGCAGUAGCCAUUUGAAUCUUCUUUCUUUCAGCAUAGUGUUGACUACUGAAAAUCAACUCAAUCUUCUUUUCCCACUUCACAUAAGCUUCAGGAGCCGCCUUGCCAUGGAAUGGAGGGAUUUGAAAUUCAUAUACAGCAUGCUUCCGGUUCCUGUCAAACUGAUCAAACUCUUUUUGCUUGUACUCAUCUCUGGUUGAUCUUGAGCAUUCUCUAUUUUUCUUUGGAUGAUGUUUUCCUUUGUGCUCCUUCUCCAUUGGUACCUGAGACACAAAUAAAACAGAAACCAGUAACUAGUUCUAAGAGAAACAACACUCAGAAUUAACAACAGAUCAAUUUUAAAACGACAAGCAAAUCAAAUAAAACAGUCUGAUAAUCAGAACAAUUCACCAACGCAAUAUGAUCGAUCAAUCUUAAACAGAGACAGAUUAAAUUCGAAAUCUAAUCAACCAAACAAGAUAGAUUAUAUUCAAAGCAAUAAGAACAGAUCGGAAUCACACAAAUCCAAAACAGAAACAGAUCAAGCAAAUCGAUUACUUCUGCAACAAGAAUGUGAAAAGUUUUUAUCAGAAACGAGAUCAACAAGCUUGAAUCUUAUUAAAACUCAACAACACAAUCAUAGAUCAAUCAAAACUAGUGAGAAUAAGAAUAGAUCGACAGGUUUUUAGCAAACACAAACGGAUUUAUCAGAUUUAAACGCNNNNNNNNNNNNNNNNNNNNNNNNNNNNNNNNNNNNNNNNNNNNNNNNNNNNNNNNNNNNNNNNNNNNNNNNNNNNNNNNNNNNNNNNNNNNNNNNNNNNNNNNNNNNNNNNNNNNNNNNNNNNNNNNNNNNNNNNNNNNNNNNNNNNNNNNNNNNNNNNNNNNNNNNNNNNNNNNNNNNNNNNNNNNNNNNNNNNNNNNNNNNNNNNNNNNNNNNNNNNNNNNNNNNNNNNUCCUUGGUGCUUUCCAUGAUCACAUCAUCCCCUCCCACUUCAAAAAGAUUUGUCCUCAAAUCUGUGUUACCUGCAAUAGAAGGGACCAAGUCAGUAACAUCAGAGUUUAUAAUCAGAUUACACUUACCUUGCAAGCCUCUUUGAUAGGCAUUGUCGCUGACUGGUUCUAUUAGGUAGAAGGGACUGAUCCAUUUGGCUUUCCUCACUCCUGAGGCAUUACUUAAACCUGAUACUUUGAAACAAGACAAGUUAACACAAGCAAAAUCAUCAUAGAGCAAGAUUCUUAUCCCAAAGUUAUAUUUUCUCGGUUUUGGCUUGUAUGUUGCAUCUGGAGGUGCUUCUUUGAUGAGGAUGAAGCAAGUGACGUCCUGAUGUCUCUCCUGGCUUAGAUCAGGCGGCUUGAAACGUUUGUCUUCCUCACGCUUGUUCUUUGUCUUUGCAUGCUUCAAAGCUUCCAUAUAAUCUGCACAUGACUCUUUUGACAAAAACAAGUGCAUCAUAUCUGUGUAAUCAAUAAAGGAACUCUUGAAAACAUGAUUGGUUACCUUAGCAUGCUCACCUGGUCGCCAUAUAUAGGAUUGAGAUGUUCUAUACUCAGAAAAAUUCAAACAAAGCAAACACAGAAUCACCCGUCUUGUAGAACCCAUAACUCUUUCAUUUGAGUAGCUUUGGACAUGAUUCCAGUUCGACGUGAGACCCUGAUGAGUGUAGUUUCCAUUGCAGUUGAGUUUGAUGCUUAAUUCCUUCUGGUUGCUGAGAUAUGAUCCUCGGACUGCUCCUAUGUCAAGGUUGACGGCUAGACAGCUUCCAAGAUUUGAUUGUUGCAUCUCCAACUUAGCCAAGGAUCCACUCUUGAUACUCUGAUCAUUACUAUAGCCUCUCCUUUCGAAAAGUAUAGCACUCAAAACUGUUUGACCUCGGGCUGAUUUAUUUGGAGAUUGAUGUAGACUGAGUCCAUCUGGUGGUUUCUCCUUGAUUUGACAAUCUCUGAAAUGGUAUUGAAGCUUCUGCAAAUCUGGUGGCUUCCACACCUUGACAUGAUCAAGAAGCAAGGCAUUUUGAUCAUCUUCCAACUCCUUAUUACCCAAGCUGGUUCUAGCACGAGCAGAGCACUCUCCAAGGAUGAUAAGUGUGCUGUCAUAUGCUCCAGGUUUCCACAAGUAGAUCUGUAACCUUCCAGCCCAAUCUGAUAUAAGCAGCUCACAGAAUUUGGCUAAACCGAUAUGUUUUGCGGAAUUGACAAUAUCUUGAUGAUCAGGUGGCCAUUUGCUGCGUUUUCCGGUUUGUUGGAUCCAGGAAAGAGUAUCUUGAUGAUCAGGAGGCCAUUUGCUGCGUUUUCUGGUUUGUUGGAUCCAGGAAAGAGUGGGUAACAUUCUCCAAUUGGUUUCGUAGUGAAACUCUUGCUGCGCUGAGACGUGCAUCCCUUUAGCUUCAGAGGGUAAAAGAUCACCAAAAACAAUUGUUGUUGCUGCCGAUUUCUUCUCAAUCACUAUGGGAUUGUUUCUGUGAUUCCACAACUUUCCUCCAGGCUCAAAUACAACAUGUUCCAUGCCCAGUUCGUGUCUUGAAAGCUCUACUGCUCUGGUCUUGUUCCAGACAAAGGGAUUGAACAGAAAAAUACCCAAGAAUGUCUUUUGGAAAUCACACGGGUCAAAGACAAUCAGUUGUCUCUUUUUACAAGCUGUCUGUGGUUCCCUGGGUGUCUCUUCUGGUACUAUGGCUUGUUUGAAAGGAACCAUGACGUUCUGAACAGGCUGAUCUUCUUUCUGAAUGGCAGCUGAUGAUUCUUUGGCUUGAUCUCCUUGGAUAGAUGUAGCUGAUACCGGCUCUACUCCACUGUCUGAUUUUGAUUCCAUGGGUGCCUCCUCUUCUAUUACAUCCUGUUUGAAGAGAAUCAGGUCAUCCUUGAUGGGUUGAUCAUCUUUCUGAAUGGCAAUUGUUGGAAUCUCGGUUUGAUCUUCUUGAACUAGUGCAGCCAAGUCUGAUUGUGCAACUGAGUCUGGUUCUGCAUCUUUGAGUUCUGAGACAGUUGAGGAAGGCGCUUGGUUCUGUACUUCUAAGGAUGGAGAUAUAGUCUUGGACUGUUUAAAUUGUUUCUCCACAUCCCUAAACGCUUGUGAAAUUGCCUUCCUUAUGCUAUCUUCAAAGGAACGUGUUGAUGUUCUGCUUGAUGAAACCAGGUUAGUAGAUGGACUUGAUCUCUUGCUGUCUGGUUGUUUCUGAACUGAUAAUGAAGAACAUAGCUUUGUCUCAGGCUGCUUUUGAAUAACUUCCUUGUGGUACUGUCUUGGAACGUACUCUCUACGCAUCAAAGCCCUCAGCUUAAGCCAUGUUUCCACUGGUUCUUUUCCAUCAAGUCUUCUGCACUUUAUCAACUGAUUCCACCAUCUUAAAGCAUGACCACAAAACUCAGCAGUAGCCAUUUGAAUCUUCUUUCUUUCAGCAUAGUGUUGACUACUGAAAAUCAACUCAAUCUUCUUUUCCCACUUCACAUAAGCUUCAGGAUCCGCCUUGCCUUGGAAUGGAGGGAUUUGAAAUUCAUAUCCAGCAUGCUUCCGGUUCCUGUCAAACUGAUCAAACUCUUUUUGCC
rnacentral:lncRNA from 1 species